CCGCUCGCCCCCACCGCAGCCGACGUUGCGUGCCAUCAACGCCUGUGCCCCAUUCCUCAGAGACAGUGGCCGCCUUGCCCAUCCCCGCAAGGUACGCGGCCCCCGUCCACUCUUCCUCUACCCCCAUCACCCCCAAUCCCAGCCGCCGUCUCUCCUAAAUCAAGCAAGGAGAUAUGUAGAUCAACCGGAUGGUGAAGGAUCCGGGCGGUGGCAGACUAGGUGUGGCCUGCAGCGGAGACGGGGAGGAGCUCCUUCACUGCUGUGCGGACGAGCGCUAACCCCGCGUGGUAAACCCUAACCGACUCACACACUUCUUCUCUCCCCCGCGUGGUGGUCCCUUGAGGACGAGGGCACGGCGUGGACGGAGUGCUGCCCGUAUUUCCCCCCAACGAUUUGGCGGUGAUGACGAUCUCAAAACGGUUUGGAGGCUUCACGACUCUGUGUGAGUGGAAGAAGAAAGCAAACUGAACUACUGCACCUUAGCUUCCCGAUGCGGUAAAUUGUGCCCUGCCUUUUUAUUACCCCGUCGUCCCCUUCCCACCCUCCUCCCCCGCCCGCCCGCCUGCCGGCGUCCCUUUCUUCUCCUCGUGCGGCGGCCCGCACCCUCACGAGAUCUAGACUAGACGCCGAGGCCACGACGCUUUGCCUACCUCGCCUCCUUUUCCACUGUUGCUACGAGUAGUAGAUCUUGUUUCAGACUCGAGCAUUCCAGUUAUUGCCAAUGGGGAAUUGUAGAUGGACGUGGCUAUGUUGCCACAUUAGCACUCGGUGCCCAAGGUGUUUGUUUAGGAACUAGGUUUGUUGCUACCGAGGAAAGCUUUGCAUAUCCUAUUUAUAAGCAAAAGCUAAUCGAGAUGAGUCACACAUACUACACAAAUAUAUUCAAACGUGCUAGAUGGCCUGAUGCUCCACAGCAGUAUCCUGGAAACACCCAUCUAUGAUGAAUGGAAGAAUAAUUUCCCAGACCAGGAAACAGAGGAAGAUCAACCCUUCAUAGGCCACUCUAUCGUCCAUGUUGUGGUUAGAAUUUUAGAUAUGGGAACUAGCUGGCUUGCCCGCACUGCGAUGACAUGUUAUGCGCUUUCUCCAAUGGCUAAGGUAUGCACCCUCCUCCCUUUGGAUCAUAUCUGUGGUGUUUCUACCUAUGCAGUGUCUCCCCUUUGAUGCGAAUUUAAUGCAUACUUUAGACCAGCAUGACUAUUGGUUUGAUAAAAGCUUGCAAUCAUCAAGUUUUGAAAUACAUUUUUGUUUUAGUGGUACUAAUUGAUAAACUAUAAAUUUCAGAAGUAACGUUUCUUCCUUACAUAUGUUGCUCUGAUCAGUGAUGGCCAGGGACAUACAUGUGUAUUCUUGCUGCAAAAAAUGUAGGUACAUUUGGAUUUUCGUUGUCCACAAAUAGUAGCAAUUCUAUGCUUUCUUGCUUGAUACAGUGUGGUGGAUGACGGCUUGCUUCCACUUGUACGGUAGUUAUUAGGGAGAUUUUCCUAAAGAAUAUAGCCUAGCCAGAAACCCGUGAAACUAUGAUCAAUUAGAGGCAUUUUGUGAAAGAGAUUAGGUUUUAGUUAGUUUAUUAUUUUUUUGUCUAUUUUAUUUCUUUCAGAAAAAAUUGCUAUAGUCUAUGAGUUGGUUCUUAGCCUUCUACUCGAAGAGGUGAGUAAAUGCAAAUCUUUUUUAAAUGAUUGUUUAUUAUCCUCCAAUCAUGAUCUCCUCUAUGUGUUGCGAAAGUUGGAGCAGAUGAUGAAUGUUUUGAUUCAAAUAUUAAGGUAGAAAAAUGUUUCAAUGGCAAAUAAGACACCACUUUAAUUUCUGAAGGCAAUUAAGGAAACAGGAACUUUUGUAGUAUAUCCUAAAAACCUGCCGGUUACAAUCAAGUUACCUCAACUGAGAACAGACGCAAGCAUCACCUGCAUCCAAGUGCACUAAACCCCUAGCUCCCCUCUAACUGAUAAGGUAGUUAGAUUAAAGGUACAUGUUCAGCUGGCAUAGCCUUACCCUUUCAUUUUUUAUGUUAAAGUGCUAAGAACUGAAUUUAUGCUUCGAAGCCAAGGAUUAUAAUUCUGGUACAUUGAGGUUGAGCAUUCAAGUCAACAUUCAUGCUUCUUGGGCUUCGGCAGCAGCGCAACAUGCAUACAUGUUUCAGGAAGUCUCAUCAGGCACAAAAGCAAGUCUAAAAUUCUGAUAUAGGUUUAAUAAAUGUAUGAAUAACUUGAUCCUUCCAUCUAUUCUUCUUUUCUUUCUUUCUCUGCAACCAUGCCUAAGCAAACUUUUUCAUAAGAGAAAAGAAGUUUUACAACAAAUGGUAUUAUUAAGCCAAGGCUUCUGUAAUCUAGGAUUUUGGUUUCUUUAACUAUUUUUUUCUCAAACACUAAUGCUGGAAGUAAGUAUGAUUGUAUUAAAGCCUUGUCAUGACUGUUUAAAAGUUGUUGCAGUGUAGAAUCAGUGAAAGUAUGGACAUAGCAGAAUAAUUCAUAUGUUUCAACUCUUUUGCCUGUUGAACUGUUUGACUUAGCCAAAAAGAUACAUCACUCAGCUCGGAAAGCCAAUCCUUUCAGCUCAUACUCAUGAAUUGUGAUACCCCAAUUUUCUGAAAAGAAGUUAAAUUUCUUUUUCUCUUUUCUUUCAUGUUCUGUGGCAUUGGGGUUUGGAGUUUCAAGAGGCAUUCCUCAGGAAACAGUAGAUCUUUUGGCAUUUUUUCCGCUAGGGUCGGGAGCUCAAAUGGGAGAGCGAGUUUGGGCCAUUGAUCUCGAUCUGAUGGAUGGGAGCCUCCUCUCCUCCCCAACCCUAGCCGACCCCCUCUCCUUCUCCCUAAUGGUUGCAGCUACCCCCACCCUUUCCACCCCUUUGGCCGCCGCCCCCUCCCUCUCUUCCCCAUUGGCAGCCGCCCCCUACCCUCUCCAUGGCUUCCUCCUCGCUCUAGGUCUCCCCCACGCAGCAAGGAUCAAGAAGAGGAGGAGCAUGUUGAAUUGAAGAUGAAGAGAGGAUCAAGGAGAUGUUCUACCCCAUCUCUUCUUGCAGAUCUUCUUGGGGAAACCCUAGGUGGCUACACUCUGGAUCAUUCCUAGUACACUUUUCUUCUUCGAUAAAGGCAAGUGAAUGUAGCGGUGGUUGCUACCGUUUUGACUUGUUGUUUUUUUAUCGCCUACACUUUAAUAUUCAGAAUUAUGGAAUUCUUUCAUAAUUGAACUCUAUGGUGAUGCUUUACUUGCUUGUAUUAUACUAAUGCUCAACCAUAUAUUGAUGAUGAUUAUGAUUCGAGUAUGACCCAGGAGAUUAAUUCACACCCCUGAAGGUAAACAAAAUAUUAUUUGAGGUUUGUAUUGUAUGUGAAGGAAGUGAAGUAUAUUGUUAAAUGCAGCAUGCCAUAUACAUUGCAUGAUUCACUUGCAUCUGAAAUUUGUCGUGACCUAAUGUCUGACUGUACCGGUACAACUUAGCAUCGUACGUUGCCCGAGGAGGGGUACGAUGCGGCUUCAUACCCUUAGAGGUAUGAAGGCAGAGGACAUAUGCAUUGCAUUCAUAUGCAUUCUUGAAGUGAUAUUUGCAGAGGACAUGGUUUUAUACUCUCAUAGGUACGAAGGCAGAGGACCUACAUAUUGCAUUCCUAUGCAUACAUUGAAGUUAUAUUUGCAGGUAUUGUUGAAGCAGGGAAGUGUUAUACAACCUAUUGUGGUUGUUCGAAGAAAUGAGAUGGUAUUGCGGUUAUUGGGACUAUUGAGUUCUAUAUCUACACGUAUUUUGGAUCUUAAUUGUGAUUUCUUUAAAAUGUUGAUUAAUUCAAUUUGUGGUUUAAAUAUCUCGUCAAAACAAUUUGCUUGCUGAGAUGUUUCAUCUCACUCUUGCAUUACUCAGUGCAGGUGCUUGAUGCUCGUCAAGGGGAGUGGGAAGUAGCGGCACGUUGCACACACUGUUUAAAGAACCAAAUAAUUAGCUUUGGUUAUUGACUUUUGAAGUUCAUAUUUUGAAAUAUGAUGUAGGCAUAAGCUGGUUCAUUCAUGGUUAAUCAUCUUUGAUGAGAAUUAUAUCAUAUUAGUAUGAUUCAUUUUGUAUUGAUAUAUCUCUUUUGCUUCUGCGAUGCUUAUAAUUACAAAGGAGACGCUGCCAAAUUUUGUUUUGCUUAGUGUUCGGCCGUUGGUAGUGAAGUCUAGUAGCAUCUCGGGGUGUUUGUGGAUCCCGGGGUGUUACAUGAAUAAAAGAGUUCUCUUCUUCAUUUUUGCUUCUUCUAGAGCUAACUAAAUCUGUCAAGUCUGUUACAUUCUGAAUAAGCAGAUCAUAUAACCAAAUAUGUUCUUCUGGCUUCGUGAUUUGCUCAUUUUUUCAUCUCGGUGCUUUGUGAAUUUACUUUUAUCAAUGCUUAUUAGUCCUCAAUCUAGAACAACACUAACAGCCUUGUCAAGACCAUUCAGGUCAUCUCUUAUAUCCUCACCUUUGCUAGCAUAAGCCAGGUUAUUAUGGAUGCAGCUCCAAGCAUUAUGGAAAAGUGUGACCAAGCGAGUUAAACUCAGUCAUCAAAGUUGUUGUUGUGAUCUUGUCUCAGACAAUACAACCUCCAUCUUUGCCUUGAGAAGAUCAUUAACAGUAUCCAGGAGUUCAUACAACGAGCAGUCCGUGGUUCCUGAGGUGUUGCGGAAGACCUUCCUGAGCAACAACCUGGUGAAGACAAGUGUCCUCUGACCCAUUAUGUCCCAUUCAUUUAUAAUUCACUGUCCCGCAUUAUAUUACUGAAACCUAAGGAUUGACUAGUCUGUAUUUACUUAUCCUUGUUUACCUUUUGGGUUAUCAUGGUUAGCUUUAUGCUAUUGCUUUAACUUAAUCAAUGAACAUGAUGUGAUUAUUUAUGAUACGAUGAUGUUAUCUCGAUGAUGAUAUUGUGAUAUAUUAGGGGGCUCAGGCCAUUUUCCUGAGUACCUCU